CUAAAAAUAGCUUAAUAAAAGCAAUUUAUUUACAUUAAAAGGAUAUUUUUAAAAUUUUUUAGA
rnacentral:tRNA from 1 species